GAUAUGUGCUUAGUAAGUGUCACAUUAGCCCGUAGACCGUCCGUCAUUUCAAGCAGACGGAGCCGCACGGGCCCCGCGUGGAUUGGCUCAUGCUUCAGCUACGACUUCCCUUGAGUGACAAAUGCGAAUCUCGAAGGCUAUGCUCCUGAAGCGAUGCGAAUCGGGGAGGCAGGUUCCUUUUCGUUAACCGCAGUGUGGCGCUGCUGCAGUGUUUUGUUCAAUAAAUCCAAUCCAAUCCAAGUUGCUGUAGUUUAUGGACCACGUUGGCUGUGCGCGAGUGCUUGUUGCAGUGAGGCGGUAGUUGAAUUUUAUAUUAGAAGUGCCUAGGCAAAAUGUGCUUCUUAUCGUGUGCAUUAACCAUCGCACAACCUCUGGACUCGUGAAACACCGUGUGUUCGCCGUGUGUUUCGAGCGAUACGCCAGUGUCAACAGUGUCUUACAGCGCCCGUCCGAGCUGCUUUUGUUCCCGCCUGCCUGCGCUCUCUCGUGAAAAGCCUGGUACUGGGGCUUCACCACAGUGUAUGGAAGAAUUUGUUGUAGGUUGUGCGUUGGUGGUGCUGUAGUUCAUCGGCAGCUCUACAGUGUUUGCGCCCGAAAGAGAGUUGGUGCCACGGUACCUGUGGGACGAAGGAGUGUUUGCUGACUACGUCUUGAAAGUUGAAGGCUAUGCGGAUUCUGGAGGCAUCCCACAGGAACCUGCAGCACUGCUGCAAGCUGGAGAGCACCACUAUAAAACACCUGAUCUGCGUGCUUUUACAAAGGCUUGCAGCAAGAGGGAUAUCAAGAACACGGGAGAUAUCCAGACCACAUUAUAGUCACUGCUUGCUUGUGGCUUCUUAGGGCAUGUAUGAAAGGGUUGGAAAAUAAACAUCAGUGUUUGAAAAGAUUGGUGUGUUUCGCUAACAGGUACAUACUUUUAUAUGUUCAAGGUUGCAUCAGAGCACUACCAGACAAUUUUUAAAAAAUGCUGGAAAAAGUCGAUAAAUGUCACCAGGAUGUUUCUAGGGCGAGCAACAGAAAGUUG